GCCAGGUGUGGUGGCUCACGCUUGUAAUCCCAGUGGCUUAUGAGGCUGAGGCAGGAGAAUCGUGAGUUCAAAGCCAGCCUCUGUCAACUCAGUGAGACCCUGUUUCUA
rnacentral:sRNA from 1 species